rnacentral:piRNA from 1 species
UUGGGUGAUAAUCGAAAUUUU